GGGGAGCGAAGCAGAUUAGAGACCUGCGUAGUCCUAGCCGUAAACGCAUGCUUGCUAGCUGCAUGAAUCUACCUUCGGGUGGUAUCGUGUGGCGAAGGUAACCCGUUAAGCAAGCCGCCUGGAAAGUACGGCCGCAAGGCUGAAAUUCAAAGGAAUUGGCGGGGAGGCACACAACCAGUGGAACAUGUGGUUUAAUUCGAGACUAACCGAAGAACCUCACCAGGGUUUGACAUGUAGCUGCACGUCUUAAGAAAUUAAGACUCUCUUGAAGGUGCUACACAGGUGCUGCAUGGCUGUCGUCAGCUCGUUCCGUGAGGAGUGCCCUUAAGUGGGACAACGAGCGCAACCCCUAUUACAUGUUAGAAAUGUCAUGUAAGACUGCCUUGCCAUUUGGCGGGGAGGAAGGAGGGGCAGACGUCAAGUCCGCAUGGUCCUUAUGCCCUGGGCUACACACAUGUUACAAUGAGUACGGCAAUGAGUCUGUCGCGAGCACGUAAGUGUAAGCUAAUCUCUUAAAUGUACUCUCAGUGGGGAUUGAGGUCUGCAGCUCGACCUCAUGAACACGGAAUUGGUAGUAAUCGCGGGUCAGCUAUACCGCGGUGAUACGUUCUUGCCUCUUGCACACACCGCCCGUCAAACCAGCAAAGUCGAUUGUAUCCGAACAUC
rnacentral:rRNA from 1 species